GGGUCGUGAGAAAAUAUGCAGGAAGAGAUACCCCGUGGACAUGUUUCCCUUGGAAAGUGGAUGGAACCCUCUGAGCCAUGAUUCCGCCUGAAUUAAGCAGUGGCGGGCACUGGCCUGGCAGGCGGCUUCUACUGCCUUGGAUUUGCACCUCUAAGGGGUCACAGGGGCCACCCCCGAAGCAAGACAAAGUGUGAUCAUGAGCAGGCCCUUGGGGGGCCAGAAGAAGGAACGGCUCCAGUGAUGAAGGCUGAACGCCAGCUCUCUCCCCAUCGUUCUCCCGGACCAGGAGAGGGCUGCUUGGCAGGGCUAGGUUUAAAAACUUUCCAUGCAACUUACAAAGGCAUCCACAGUGACUUCUGCUGCUGUGGUACAUUCUGCCCUCCCCUCCUCCCCGCCCCAUCCUAUUCUCGGCUACAAGUUAUUUAUAUGUACGGUGUCAUCUGAACGUGCAUGGGCCUAUCCCAGGACAUCACACACAAAGAGGCUGUGGUGAACCCAAGCCGCCGGGCCUGCCUGUGGCUCAGUGUCUGUUUCAGAAGUCCCGGCCCCAGGCAGCUCUCCUGAACAGAGCCACUGGAACUCAGGAGGGUCAGGACCACAGCCGAAACAACUGUGACCGAAAACACCCUACAGGGCUUGAGAACUAAAAAAUAAGGAGGGAUCUGGGCAGCCGAGCUGCCUCCUAAAGAAGCCACGUCAUAGAGAAAACUGCUUGCUCUAUCUAUGAGACGGAGGCGGCCGGGGUGUCCUGCCAGCAGACACGGGUCUGUCCAUCACCGGCCACCGUGCUGCCUCUGUCCUUCACUCCCAUUUAAGGGAAAACGAUAUCUCUUCAUCUUUCUGCCCUGGACAUUGGAAAUCAGCGGUGAGAACAGUGCUCUUGCUACAAAAUGCUCAGGUUCUAGAAUGCUCCCAUCUUUCCUUCCAUUCCACAUGGAGUUUAUCCAAAGCACAAAGGCCAGUCAUGGCACUGACAUCCGUGGUGCCCGCUCACCGGGGAGUGGGAAACAGAAGCCUGUCCUCAGAGGACUGUGACUGUGAGCCUGCAGCUGCUUGUGGGUGGGGCCAGCCCGAAGCUCCUCCUGGAGGCCUCGGGCUUCUUGCUGCUGCAUUUCUGUGACAUGUGGAGGGAGGAUCGUUUUGACACCUGCCUGGGAAGUUUCAAAGGAGAUGGCCUCUGGGCAGGGGUUUUAAACCGAAGGGCACCACACAGAUCCAGAUGUGAACUGUGGCUGUUGUUUGCAGUUGAAGCAGAGAUGCAGAGGAUGGAACAGGAGUGCUGGCCAUGCUGCUCUAUGGCCUUGGUCCAGCCAAGACCCCCAGUCAAUGGGGCUACGGGACCCCCACUACACAGGGACCUGGGAACCACCUUUGCCGCGGUUGACCGCUGGGCCCGCCAUGCACCGCCCACACCUGGCUGUGCCUGGAGACUGAGAGCAGGGGGUGACGGUGGGCCUGGGAAAAGUCUCUCCCUUUUGCAAACGCCAGCCACAGAGGUUUAUUUUUCUCCCCAGUGAGCGCGGAGCCACGAGACGCGCUCGGAGGACACGGGGCCUCGGGGAAACCGGGCACGGGCAGGGGUUGGUCUUGGCUUCGCCGCAACAUGGUCCCUGUGGUGCCAACAUCCAGAUGCUGAGAUAAUUCUGCCAGGGUGUUGGCUGAUCGGUGAUUGGUGGUUGGCUGUUCCGUGAGUUCUGCGUUGAUCUUGCUGGCUGAGCGUCCAACGCGGAGGGGCAGGUGCUGUUAGGGUCUCCACUCCCAUCCCUCUCCCCAGGACUCAUCACCCACUGCAACCGUAAGCUGCUAGGGGCUCACAGCCGUGAGUCUUUGGGACGGGUGGUCCCACCUGGCAUGCAGCUCAGGCUCCUAGCCCCAGGACCCUGCUGCUGCUCCCCUCCUGCCCACAUCUUGGCUUAGCCAUCUUCCCUGGCUGCCAGCCCCUUCCCCUUGGAUCCAUCUAGCUUCCUGCUUCUCAAAGAACAGAGGGGAGAGCCCUGGUGUGAAGGGAACGGGUGGCCUCGGGGACAUGCGGAUAAGCUGCUGGCACUACCAGGGGACAGGCUGAGCUGAAAGCCAGGAGGAGGGCGGCGAGGCCCGGGGCUGGACCUCAUUCUUCUGAGUGUUAUAAAAUCUGGCUUUGCUCAGAA
rnacentral:lncRNA from 1 species